rnacentral:rRNA from 1 species
AAAUUGAAGAGUUUGAUCAUGGCUCAGAUUGAACGCUGGCGGCAGGCCUAACACAUGCAAGUCGAACGGUAACAGGAAGAAGCUUGCUUCUUUGCUGACGAGUGGCGGACGGGUGAGUAAUGUCUGGGAAACUGCCUGAUGGAGGGGGAUAACUACUGGAAACGGUAGCUAAUACCGCAUAACGUCGCAAGACCAAAGAGGGGGACCUUAGGGCCUCUUGCCAUCGGAUGUGCCCAGAUGGGAUUAGCUAGUAGGUGGGGUAAA